CACUGCAGCCCUUCAUAAAGACCUGCAAGCUGCUGCCUCGGGCUCUGGUUUCCUUCUCUCUCUCCCCUUGAGCUCACUCUGUCUCAAAGCAGGGCAGUACCCAGCGCCAAGGCAGAUGUUCACCCCCAGGAGGUCAGCCAGAGCUCACCUUGCCAUCCCCACCUGUGCUGGAGACUGUUCUCAGCGUAGCUGCACUCAGCGGAGUAGC